rnacentral:ncRNA from 1 species
UAUUUUUAAGGGCAAAAUUACCGAAAGGUAAUGACUGCAAAACUAUGGGUCUAAGGCUUAAAUCAAUUAAUAAGCUAUGAUUGCCAGGUUGCAAAU